rnacentral:rRNA from 1 species
UACGUAGGGCGCAAGCGUUUAUCCGGAAUUAUUGGGCGUAAAGAGCUCGUAGGCGGUUUGUCGCGUCUGCCGUGAAAGUCCGGGGCUCAACUCCGGAUCUGCGGUGGGUACGGGCAGACUAGAGUGAUGUAGGGGAGACUGGAAUUCCUGGUGUAGCGGUGAAAUGCGCAGAUAUCAGGAGGAACACCGGUGGCGAAGGCGGGUCUCUGGGCCGAAACUGACGCUGAGGAGCGAAAGCGUGGGGAGCAAACAGG